rnacentral:rRNA from 1 species
UACGUAGGGGGCUAGCGUUGUCCGGAAUCAUUGGGCGUAAAGCGCGUGUAGGCGGUCCGGUAAGUCCGCUGUGAAAGUCGGGGGCUCAACCCUCGAAUGCCGGUGGAUACUGUCGGGCUAGAGUGCGGAAGAGGCGAGUGGAAUUCCUGGUGUAGCGGUGAAAUGCGCAGAUAUCAGGAGGAACACCAAUUGCGAAGGCAGCUCGCUGGGACGUAACUGACGCUGAGACGCGAAAGCUAGGGGAGCGAACAGG